GUGAACGCUGGCGGUAGGCCUAACACAUGCCAGUCGAACGGCAGCACAGGAGAGCUUGCUCUCUGGGUGGCGAGUGGCGGACGGGUGAGGAAUACAUCGGAAUCUGCCCAGUCGUGGGGGAUAACGUAGGGAAACUUACGCUAAUACCGCAUACGACCUUCGGGUGAAAGAGGGGGAUCGCAAGACCUCUCGCGAUUGGAUGAGCCGAUGUCGGAUUAGCUAGUUGGCGGGGUAAUGGCCCACCAAGGCGACGAUCCGUAGCUGGUCUGAGAGGAUGAUCAGCCACACUGGAACUGAGACACGGUCCAGACUCCUACGGGAGGCAGCAGUGGGGAAUAUUGGACAAUGGGCGCAAGCCUGAUCCAGCCAUACCGCGUGGGUGAAGAAGGCCUUCGGGUUGUAAAGCCCUUUUGUUGGGAAAGAAAUCUUUCAGGCUAAUACCCUGGGAGGAUGACGGUACCCAAAGAAUAAGCACCGGCUAACUUCGUG
rnacentral:rRNA from 1 species